AUGGCGACGCCGCAGGAGGUGCGCAGGGUCGACUCGUUCUCGCAGCUGCCGUUCAUCCGGCCGGCGGUGGCGCAGCAGCAGCAGCAGCAGGCGAGGGAGACCAUCCGGCUCUUCGGCCGCGAGUUCUCCAACAACGACGCCCUGCUGCAGCAGCAGCAGCGCAAGCAGGAGGCCGGCGCCGGCUCCCCGGACGCCGCCAACGGGAGCACCGUCACGUCCGAGGGCAACGGCGGCGGCGGCGGUGGAGCCAAGGGCGGCGCGUCUGGGGCGGCGGCGGGGGAGACGAGGAAGUUCGAGUGCCACUACUGCUGCCGCAACUUCCCGACGUCGCAGGCGCUGGGCGGGCACCAGAACGCGCACAAGCGGGAGCGCCAGCACGCCAAGCGGGCCCACCUGCAGGCCUCCCUCGCCAUGCACCGCUACGUCCCCGGCGGCCACCACAUGUACGGCGCCCUCCUCAACUACCACCACCACCACCCCGCCGCCGCCCGCUACGACCAGCCGCCGCCGCACUACCCGAUGUGGACGACCGCCAGCAUGGGGCCCUACGGCGGGGGCGGCCCGGGCUCCAUGUCGCAGCCCAUCGACGGCAGCCCCGUCGCGCAGGCGCAGGGCCACUGGAGGGUGCCCCUGCCGGCCGUGGAGAACUUCGGCGCAGCAGUCCGUCACGGCGCGGCUGACAUGCCGCCGGCCGUGGUGGUGCGGCCCGGGGAGGUGAUGACCUGCAAGGACGAGAAGGUGGUGAUGAGCCUGCUCUCCUCGUCGCCGUCCUUGUCGUCCUGCUCCUCCACGUCGCCGGAGAAGCUAGGUAGGUGUGAAUUGGGGCAGCAGGAGGCUCUUAGCUUGGACCUCCAUUUGUAA
rnacentral:rRNA from 1 species